CAGAACCAAAAGAGAAGUUCUGAUUUCUUAUCUUCACCCCGUCGGCUGUUUUUUACCCUCCGGAAACCUAACUACUCGAGGAGACUCUAACUUAGAAGAAGAAGAAGAAAAGGCGAUAUUGAACAAACCUAAGAGGAGAUCGAAGAAGAAUAAGAAGAUAUCCAAUUAAACUUUGUUGAUAUAAGAUGGUCAGUUUUCUGAGGUUAGUUUAUCACUGAGCAAUCAGUCUGAGGCCACUUACUGAUCUUAAAAAGUUAAAAUCCGAUAUGAGAACUGGGGUUCUUGGGCUUGUUCCUGUGACACAACCUUUUGGCGAGCAGAGUGGGAACCGAAAUGAGUACCACCAAGAUGCCCAGCGGUCACUAACAACUUAUUACAUCAACCUGAGGAGACCCUGCCCUUGUUCGCGAUUAAGUCUGUCUCUUGUCAGCUCCACCUUCACACCCUUGGAGUUUCCCAUGAUUGGACAUGACCACUAUAAGGUCAGAGAAGAAACGGCGGGAGGAUGCUAAGAAGGAAAUUGUGACCAAUAUUCAAAUGAAGGAGGAGGUGAUUGAGACUGUAGAAUUUCAAUUGCCAAUUAAAGAGGUUUGAUUUUAGGUUGAUAAGUUGUGGUGGUGGAACUAACUAAAGCAUUAGACAGAUAGGCAUAGAUAUGCAGCUUUGGUAAGGUGAAUGAUACAAUUGGUACAUUAGUUGGAGGCAAAUACUUCAAUAAUGAUGUUGCAGCUGUAGUUAUUUUGGUAACUGGAACAAAUGCAACAUAUGUAGAGCGUGCACACGCCAUUCCUAUGUAAAUCAGGAGACAUGGUAAUCAACAUGGACUGGGGUACUUCCGGUGACUGAAUAUGAUCAGGCUUUGGACUAGAGAGUCUUAAUGUUGGUGAGCAUGUAAAAAAUUAUUUAGAAGAUAAUUUCUGGGAUGUAUUUGGGAGAUAUUGCACGUAUAAUCCUUUGUAUAAUGGCUAAGAUCUGAAUUAUUUGGUGAUGUUGUUCUACCAAUACUUAAAACUCAAUUCAUUAUGAGGUGUACCAUCCAUUUCACCUCAGUUCCAAGUUUGCCUACCCCUUUUUAGCUUUUGUUUGAAUUCUGGGUAAACAAAUACUAAAUGAAAUGUGAAUUAUACAGGACUGCUGAGAUGUCUGCCAUGCAUCAUGCUAGGUCCCCAGAUUUGAGAAUGGAGCAAAUUGAAAGACGUGUUUGGGAAAAAAACCAUUGCACAUGCAUAUGCUAAUACUUCAAAGUUGCUGCUAAUUGAUGACAAUAAUGACUGCAUGAUUGAUGAAAUCAUUAACCCAAGAGCAAUGUUGUGCGACAAAGAUGAUGAUGUACUCGGGGAUGAUUAAAGAUGUGGCAUGAUUAAAUGGCCAAAAGCCUAUGUAACUCUUGUAGGAGAGCCACCAAGUUAGAGCGGCAAGGUGACAGUAGAUUGAUUACAGUUUUAAUUUUCAUUUUGUAACUUAUCUUCCGAGUUGUAUUCGAAUAUUUGAUUUUCUUAAAAAUAUAAUUAAUAAAGUUAAUUUUGGA